rnacentral:snRNA from 1 species
AUGCCUUAAACUUAGGAGUAAGCAAAAUAAUGACUCAGUGUGAUGUCCUAAAUCCUCACUGCUAAUGUGAGACAAAUUUUUGAGCUCGACAAGGUUUCUGCUAAAGUGAUCCACCUAAUUUGUGGGGUGCCUGGGAGUCGCAACCUGCUGU